AUGAUGAUACCAGAAACAGGAAAGAGAAUUUGGCAGAAUCCCAUUUUAUGGCAGAGUCAUAGAAYCCAGGAGAAAACCUCUGAAGUGGAUGUUGCAGCUCAUGGAAAAAGAAAAUUAAACUUUUACCAUGGAUUUGGAGAACAUCACAACAGUGUUAUGCAACCCAUAAGACCUAUGAAAAUGAACAAAGGGGAGAAAGAAGCUCAUUGGCACCUACAUCAAGGCCAGGACCAACAGACUGGCGGUGGCAGCAAAGACGGUGGUGUGUGUUACUCUUUAACUUGCCCUAGUUACCCAAAAGGUUUGCUACUACUGGGCUAGCCCUAUGGAGAGACUGAAGGUUGGAGAGAAAAUCACUGCUGUGACAGGAGCUGCUACCCCACCUACAGAAAAUGGGAGUGAUGUGUUUAAAUCCUGCAGAGGUCUUUGAACCCUGUUCUCGCGCUCUCCUAGCAGGACUGGUAUGAAAGAGCUGAGCAGUGCCUCUGGGAAAAGACAGCUGCUGGAUCAGGCCUGUGGGAGUCUUAUGGGGAUGCCAAAUUAGAGGAUUUUUAUCAGCUCUAGGUGUAACCUAGGUGCUGAGCUAUUUAUAGUGAGGAUGUUACAGGCAUCUGCAAUGAUUUCAGGGGCAAGCUGGGUUUUAAAACCACUGAAAUUGUACACUGGAUCCAAUGUUUAGGCACUGCAGUGCUAAGACCUGCAGCAUGCACACAUUUGGGCUGCGCUGCUUUGCAGCAGACUUUUCAACCCUGAGUGAGAUAGUGUGGAGCAAUAAGAUCACCAGGGUUCAGAGCAGGGCUUUGUAGCCGUAAGCUAUCCAGUAGGAAAUACUGGGGUACAAUUCUCACGGGGUUUUACAUGACAGCUCCAGGUCAGCAGCAGUGCUCUCCUCCACCAGCAUUCACUGCUGAGGAGGCAGUUUUUGCUUUCACUUACCACUGCCAGGAGCUGAAAUAGCCAAUAGCAUAGUGUCAUUGCCAUCACCUGAGAAGGCAGGAAACCUUUGUUUAAACAUCUCCUUUACAUGACUUAGAGUGAGAAUUCUAACAAACACAGAUCUCUUACUUCCUAGGCAAACACCUUCACCAUUUGGCUACAGGGUAUUUAAGGGGCUGGCUUUGGCAAUCUGUUAAAACUGUUCUGCUUUCUAUAAAAUACUUGUAUAAUAAAGGAAUGCAAAAYGCACA
rnacentral:lncRNA from 1 species